CUGAAAUUCACAUGAUGAAAAUACAUCCCCUAAUACUGUACUAUUUAGAGAUAGAGGCUUUGAGCAAUAAUUAUAUGUAGUCAAGGUCAUGAAGAUUGGGACCUUCCUGAUGAGAAUAGGGCCCUAAUAAUAAUAAGAGAUACCGAGUUCUCUCUGCCAUGUAAGGACAUAGCAAGAAGGUGACCAUAUGUGAACAAGAACUGAAUUGGCUGGUACCUUGAUCUUGGACUGCCUCACCUCCAGAACUCUGAGAGAUCAAUGUUUAUUGUUUAAGCCAUCUAAUAUAUGACACUUUUUAUAGCAGCCUGAGAUGACUACAACAGCUAUCAAGGUCAACAGGGUUGGUAGCUCAGAGUGAGGGGACUCUGGAAUGGAUAGCAAAGAAGACAGAUAAUAAGCAUUGGAUGCCUUCCUAGGACUAACUUCCAUAUCCUUUUCUUCUAAGUUUCCCUUCAGGAAAAGAGGCCGGCAGCAAUCCUGGAGAGGCUACCCUCUGAAUGGUUGACAAGAUCAGAAACACUAGGAUGUGGAGGAGGAGUAGGAAACACCCUUCUUCUGCUAACCCAAGAAGCAAAGUAGAACAUAGAAAUCAGAAAAGACUUUCUGUCACUAUCACAGCAAGGAAAAG
rnacentral:lncRNA from 1 species